AGUGAACGCUGGCGGUAGGCCUAACACAUGCAAGUCGAACGGCAGCACAGUAAGAGCUUGCUCUUACGGGUGGCGAGUGGCGGACGGGUGAGGAAUACAUCGGAAUCUACUUUUUCGUGGGGGAUGACGUAGGGAAACUUACGCUAAUACCGCAUACGACCUACGGGUGAAAGCAGGGGAUCUUCGGACCUUGCGCGAUUGAAUGAGCCGAUGUCGUAUUAGCUAGUUGGCGGGGUAAAGGCCCACCAAGGCGACGAUCCGUAGCUGGUCUGAGAGGAUGAUCGGCCACACUGGAGGUGAGACACGGUCCAGGCUCCUGCGGGAGGCAGCAGUGGGGAAUAUUGGACAGUGGGCGCAAGCCUGAUCCAGCCAUCCCGCGCGGGUGAAGAAGGCCUUCGGGUUGUAAAGCCCUUUUGUUGGGAAAGAAAAGCAGCAAGUUAAUACCCCGCUGUUCUGACGGUACCCAAAGAAUAAGCACCGGCUAACUUCGUG
rnacentral:rRNA from 1 species